AACGAACGCUGGCGGCAGGCUUAACACAUGCAAGUCGAACGCCCCGCAAGGGGAGUGGCAGACGGGUGAGUAACGCGUGGGAAUCUACCGUACCCUACGGAAUAACGCAUGGAAACGUGUGCUAAUACCGUAUACGCCCUACGGGGGAAAGAUUUAUCGGGGUAUGAUGAGCCCGCGUUGGAUUAGCUAGUUUGUGGGGUAAGGGCCUACCAAGGCGACGAUCCAUAGCUGGUCUGAGAGGAUGAUCAGCCACAUUGGGACUGAGACACGGCCCAAACUCCUACGGGAGGCAGCAGUGGGGAAUAUUGGACAAUGGGCGCAAGCCUGAUCCAGCCAUGCCGCGUGAGUGAUGAAGGCCCUAGGGUUGUAAAGCUCUUUCACCGAUGAAGAUAAUGACGGUAGUCGGAGAAGAAGCCCCGGCUAACUUCGUGCCAGCCGCCGCGGUAACAC
rnacentral:rRNA from 1 species